AUACGUAGGGAGCGAGCGUUGUCCGGAAUUACUGGGUGUAAAGGGAGCGUAGGCGGGAGUGCAAGUCAGAUGUGAAAUACAUGGGCUCAACCCAUGGGCUGCAUUUGAAACUGCAUUUCUUGAGUGAAGUAGAGGUAAGCGGAAUUCCUGGUGUAGCGGUGAAAUGCGUAGAUAUCAGGAGGAACACCGGUGGCGAAGGCGGCUCACUGGGCUUUUACUGACGCUGAGGCUCGAAAGCGUGGGGAGCAAACAGGAUUAGAUACCCUGGUAGUCCACGCUGUAAACGAUGAUUACUAGGUGUGGGGGGACUGACCCCUUCCGUGCCGCAGUUAACACAAUAAGUAAUCCACCUGGGGAGUACGGCCGCAAGGUUGAAACUCAAAUGAAUUGGCGGGG
rnacentral:rRNA from 1 species